GAGUUCUGGGCCGCACGCGCGCUACACUGACCGAACCAGCGAGUUUAUCACCUUGGCCGGAAGGCCUGGGUAAUCUUGUGAAACUCGGUCGUGAUGGGGAUAGAGCAUUGCAAUUAUUGCUCUUCAACGAGGAAUACCUAGUAAGCGUGAGUCAUCAGCUCGCGUUGAAUUCGUCCCUGCCCUUUGUACACACCGCCCGUCGCUACUACCGAUUGAAUGGCUUAGUGAGGUCUCCGGAUUGGCUUCUGGGAGCCGGCAACGGCACCUAGUCGCUGAGAAGUUGAACGAACUUGGUCAUUUAGAGGAAGUAAAAGUCGUAACAAGGUUUCCGUAGGUGAACCUGCGGAAGGAUCAUUAAUGAAACGAAGGACGCUCUUUUUAGAGGUCCGACCAAUCAUUUACCUUUACACUGUGCACAUACUACUUUUUACACCAAUUUUUAACGCAUUAGUUUUAAGAAUGUAAAAUCAGUCUCGAAAGAGCAUAAAAUAAACAAAACUUUCAGCAACGGAUCUCUUGGCUCUCGCAUCGAUGAAGAACGCAGCGAAAUGCGAUACGUAAUGUGAAUUGCAGAAUUCAGUGAAUCAUCGAAUCUUUGAACGCACCUUGCACUCUUUGGUAUUCCGAAGAGUAUGUCUGUUUGAGUGUCAUGAAACUCUCAACCCCCUCAUUUUGUAAUGAAAUGCAGCGUGGGCUUGGAUUAUGGCUGUCUGUCGGCGUAAUUGCCGACUCAGCUGAAAUAUACGAGCAACCCAGUUUAAAACCCUGACGGCUUGACUCGGCGUAAUAACUAUUUCGCUGAGGACGUCUAACCUUUAAAUCGUUAGUGGGGCUUCUAAUGCAUUUACAAUUUAAGCUUUAGACCUCAAAUCAGUCAGGACUACCCGCUGGAACUUAAGCAUAUCAAUAAGCGGGAGGGAAAAGAAACCUAACCAGGGGAUUCCCCCUA
rnacentral:rRNA from 1 species